UCACCGUGUUGUCUUGCCGGUACGAGCAUUUGCUAAUGGAGGCAUGGUGUUCUAGAUUGUCGAAAAUGGCUAUUAGUUGCACAGACCAUUGGAAACUUUUGCCAUAAUUAGAUAGAAAUCUAGGGCGGAUUCAGAGAACCCGGUCGGAUCUGGGCGUUGUGACGUAGUACAGGUCCACUUCAGGCAUGUGGAUGUGGUGACUGCAGCCUGCAGGCGCAUCCAUUGAACAUUCAACACUGUGAACUAUUGAAGGACGACCGAGGACGGACACCGCAGUAAAAGCUCAGCCCAGCCCCAGCCGAUGGGCAUGGGCUGAAGCAGCAGGACAGCAGUAGUGAAUGAAUGUGGAUCAGCUAACUACUCCUGUAGCUGUAGCCAUGUGCAAACAGGUGUCUCGGCUGUAAUGUUUUCUCUGCCAUGCAAACUUACGUGAGUCUUUUUUUUUUCCUUCCAUCCAAAUGUAAAUGGCUUGGCCCAUGCACUAGAAUAGUACGUUUUAAUUUGAUACUGUCGUCCUAAGUCCUAACGAACCCCCCCC
rnacentral:lncRNA from 1 species